rnacentral:lncRNA from 1 species
GUGUUCAUCAAAAUAAGAAAGACGGAGAAAGAAGAAAACAGAGACAAAAAGAAAAAAGAUAAUGGAUUUGAGAAGUCAAGUCAAUUCAGUCACAAUAUGGGAGUAAAGGACAGAUUAAAAGAAGUUUCUUGUGUGAGUGUGUGUGUGUGAAUGAGUGUGAAAAUGCGUGCAUGGGUACAUGUGCCUUAGAGUAGAGGUAAUUGGAAGACUUGAGGAGAAAUUACUCACUUUUCUUUUAAUACCAAUGACCAGACAGCUUGCCAGGUGCUCACUCAGAUUUGUAUCAUAUCUUUACAUACUGUCUUCUGGAUAGGUACAACUAUCCCCAUUUUUCAGAUGAGGACACAGAAUCUUAGAGAAAUGAAGAACUAGAUCAAGAUCUGUUUGAACGUAAGUGGUUGAGUCAGGAUUUGAAUACAGGCUUUUUGUUUUUAUCACUCCAGAGUCUCUUUUUUCUUCCUUGGUAAAUCCAGACUUAUCACUGGAGAUUCUGGUUCAAAAUUACUCUGGCAGUUUUACCACCUAAUAUAUGUUACUCCAAGAAUUUUCCAAGUCUGAUUAAAUAGAUUAGGUGGAGUCCUCCGAAACCCUUUCCUGAUUUCCUGGGCCAAGGUAAAGCAUAUCUCAGAGCAAAUUUUAAACAGUACUUUGUCAUUGAAGACCUAACUAUAUAUGAAGCAUUGUGUAGGUGCUGAGAAAGGCACAGAAAAAUAUACAAUAGGGCACUUGCCACCAGUGCCUUAUUAAUUAGAUAAAGAGAUAAAACAUACACCUGUGAAAAGCUAAAAAAAUUACUAUUAUCAAUUGACAAUUUGGCAUAGCAAAACAAGGCAUGAUUAAUUGCCAGAUAACACAAAAUGCAUGUGGUAGAAUUUGAGAGAUCUGUAAUUGGACUUCAGUGGCCUGAUAAUUCUUAAUGGAAGCGGUUUAAGCUGGAGGGAAAGGAUGGGCAGGAUUUAGACAGGGAGAACAGAGGUGGGAGAUGAAUUCAGGCCUUAACAAAAGUGUAAAGAAGAGCAGGACAGCAGGAGGCUGGGUUGAAGGAC